rnacentral:misc_RNA from 1 species
AUCUCAAUAUCCAACUAUCGAUAGUCCUAAUUCUACAUUUUCUCCUUAUGCUUUAGGAGGUUAUGGUAUGAACCCUCCAUCACCAUCCAUGUUUGAAAACCAGCUUGGAGCUGGUAAUUUGCCUUCCGUACUGGGAAACAUAGCUUCUCCGGUGGGUGCAUGUGGAAUUGAUGCUCAUGUACCAGGAGGCGGAUUAAAUUUGGGUCCUAAUUUAAUGGCUGCAGCAGCUGAACUGCAGAACCUUAAUAGACUUGGUAAUCAGACCUUGGGGGGCUCUCUUCCAAUGUCUCAGAUGGAUCCAUUGUACUUACAAUACUUGAGGUCACCUGAGUAUCUUGCUGCUCAGCUAGCAGCUCUCAAUGACCCAACAGUGAAUAGGGAAUCUUUAGGGACUUCAUACAUGGAGUUGAUUGAGCUUCAGAAAGCUUAUCUGGAGACGUUGGUUGCAUCUCAAAAAUCACAAUAUGGUAUUCCGUAUCUUGGCAAAUCCGGUGGCUUAAAUCAUGGUUACUAUGGAAACCCAGCACUUGGCCUUAAUAUGUCAUAUCCUGGAAGCCCUUUGGCAGGUGCAGGUCUUCCAAAUUCCCCAUUUGGACCUGGUAGUCCUGUAAGAUAUGGGGAAAGGAACAUGCGUUUUCAUUCAGGGAUGAGAAACUUAGCUGGUGGUGUCAUGGGAGCUUGGCAUUCCGAGGCUGUUUCUAACAUGGGUGAAACCUUUGCUUCCUCGCUACUAGACGAGUUUAAG